rnacentral:rRNA from 1 species
GGGGUGAUGGCCUACCAAGGCGACGACGGGUAGCCGGCCUGAGAGGGCGACCGGCCACACUGGGACUGAGACACGGCCCAGACUCCUACGGGAGGCAGCAGUGGGGAAUAUUGCGCAAUGGGCGGAAGCCUGACGCAGCGACGCCGCGUGAGGGAUGACGGCCUUCGGGUUGUAAACCUCUUUCAGCUCUGACGAAGCGAGAGUGACGGUAGGAGCAGAAGAAGCACCGGCCAACUACGUGCCAGCAGCCGCGGUAAUACGUAGGGUGCAAGCGUUGUCCGGAAUUAUUGGGCGUAAAGAGCUCGUAGGCGGUUUGUCGCGUCGAAUGUGAAAACCCGGGGCUCAACCCCGGGCCUGCAUUCGAUACGGGCAGACUAGAGUUCGGUAGGGGAGUCUGGAAUUCCUGGUGUAGCGGUGAAAUGCGCAGAUAUCAGGAGGAACACCGGUGGCGAAGGCGGG